AGUUGUGGAGUGGGGAGGACUGGGAGCUGCUUUCAUUGAGCAAGCAGAGUGCUUGUGGUGGCAGCAAGUUUCAUUGUUUGAGCCGCGCCUGACGUCAGCCCGGGGUGAACCACAUGCACUGGAGCUGAAAAACUCUCCGUGUCCUCGCAGCUCCGCCGAAUUAACCCAACCCCCCCCUUCAAAUCUUUUAUUUUCUCCUCCCGCCUCAAUUACACACAAAAAAAAAGUUUGGAAAGGGGAAAACCAGGAAGGUUCAGAGCAAAUAACCGCACCGUCUUGUGUUAUCUUUAAAACUCUCUCUCUCGACGUAUCCGGAAGGGAAGUCGAUGACAUUUGCGGGGCUGUAGGUGUAAAUACUACCUUUAAGGUGACCAUCCUACAGUCCAAAUGAGAGCAGACAAUUCAGUUGUGAUCGGUGCGAUGUACACUAAACCACACUAAGACGAGAGCUUCUUGAAUAGUGGUACAUCCUUUUAUUCCAAGGCUAUGGACUCUGUCCAAGACUCUUCUACUAAUGAAAAUUUCCUCUCUACAUUCACUCUAUUCAGGUGUUUCACUAUUCGGUAUGUUUCAAUGAGGUGGCCCCUCAUCCUAAACUCCAGCGAGUGCAGUCCUGGUGCCAAACGCUCAUCAUAUGUUAACCCACUCAUUCCUGGGAUCAUUCUCGUAAACAUCCUCUGGACCCUCUCCAAAUGCCAUAACAUCCUUCCUCAGAUAUGGGGCCCAAAACUGGUCACAGUACUCCAAAUGUGGUCUGACUAGUGCCUUAUUAAGCCUCAGCAUUUCAUAAAAAAACAUAGAAACAUAGAAAUUAGGUGCAGGAGUAGGUCAUUCGGCCCUUCGAGCCUGCACCGCCAUUCAAUAUGAUCAUGGCUGAUCAUCCAACUCAGUAUCCCGUACCUGCCUUCUCUCCAUACCCCCUGAUCCCCUUAGCCAGAAGGGCCGCAUCUAACUCCCUCUUAAAUAUAGCCAAUGAACUGGCCUCAACUACCCUCUGUGCCAGAGAGUUCCAGAGAUUCACCACUCUCUGUGUGAAAAAAGUUAUUUUCAUCCCUGUUUUGUAUUGUAGCCCUCGCUAAAUAAAUUCAUUGCAUUCUCCUUCCUUACUAUCGAUUAAACUCACAAAUUUACUUUUUGGGAAUCCUGCAGCAGCACUCCCAAGUCUCUUUGCAUCUCCGAUUUCUGAAUUCUCUCCCCAUUUAGAAAAUAGCCUAUGCCUUUAUUCCUACCAAAAUGCACGACUACACACUUCACUAUGCUGUAAUCCAUCUGCCACUUCUCAGCCCACUCUCCCAGCCCAUCUAAGUUAUUUUACAGAGUCCUUGCAUUCUCUACACUACAUGUCCCUCCAUCUAUCUUUGCAACAUCUGCAAAGUUGGCCACAAAGCCUUCAAUUCUCUCAUACAAAUCAUUUAUAUAUACCGUGAAAAGUAGUGGGCCCCAACUUGGACCCUUGCGGAACACCGCUUGUCACUGGCAGCCAAACAGAAAAAGCCCCCUUUAUUGCCACGUUCGUGGAAGUUUUUAUCCAA